ensembl:lncRNA
CUUGAACGCAGCCGUAAGGAAGUACACCGCUCAGCACUUGACUACUCUGGUCGAGAAGAUCGGCACCGGGCAGUUAUUGUCUGACGCAAAAGAUCUCACGGACCGAAUCUUACCCGCUGUCUCCAAGCUGGCGCAAGACUCUUCACCUGAAACCAGAUAUUUUGGCCGGCAAAUGCUGCUGCUCUUGUCUUCUCACCGAGACUUUGAUAAGAUGGUGGAAAAGUACAUUCCUCCAAAAGACCUGGCAACCGUCAGGGACACCGUCGUCACUCUGAAGACCAAGUAUUCAAGAGGGGACAUUACUGCUCAUUAUGUGCUGCCUCAAAACCCCCGGGGGGUGGUGCAAAAACAUUUUGGAUUGAUUGUCACUGAGGUGGUUUCAUGUGGCAUGCCUUUCUAUGUCAGAGAAGCAGUUCAAAAAGGCUCAAAAGGUUGACUGGAAGUGCUGCCUAUGUAAAUAAUUUUGAAUUCCUUUGGCUCCCAUCCACAAUCUAAACAUGUACAUAAAUAAAUGAAAAGAAAACAAAUAAAAAUGUUUGAAAUAUUAAA